rnacentral:rRNA from 1 species
AUUGAAUGCUGGCGGCAGGCCUAACACAUGCAAGUCGGACGGUAGCACAGAGGAGCUUGCUCCUCGGGUGACGAGUGGCGGACGGGUGAGUAAUGUCUGGGGAUCUGCCCGAUAGAGGGGGAUAACCACUGGAAACGGUGGCUAAUACCGCAUAACGUCGCAAGACCAAAGAGGGGGACCUUCGGGCCUCUCACUAUCGGAUGAACCCAGAUGGGAUUAGGUAGUAGGCGGGGUAAUGGCCAACCUAGGCGACGACCCCUAGCUGGUCUGAGGGGAGGACCAGCAACACUGGAACAGAGACACGGGCCAGACGCCUACGGGAGGAGGCAGGGGGGAAUAUUGGACAAUGGGCGCAAGCCGGAUUCAGCCAUGCCGGGUGUAUGAAGAAGGGCUUCGGGUUGUAAAGUACUUUCAGCGGGGAGGAAGGCGGUGAGGUUAAUAACCUCACCGAUUGACGUUACCCGCAGAAGUAGCACCGGCUAACUCCGUGCCAGCCGCCGCAGUAA